rnacentral:rRNA from 1 species
AGAGUUUGAUCCUGGCUCAGAUUGAACGCUGGCGGCAGGCUUAACACAUGCAAGUCGAGCGGAGAUGAGGUGCUUGCACCUUAUCUUAGCGGCGGACGGGUGAGUAAUGCUUAGGAAUCUGCCUAUUAGUGGGGGACAACGUUUCGAAAGGAACGCUAAUACCGCAUACGCCCUACGGGGGAAAGCAGGGGAUCACUUGUGACCUUGCGCUAAUAGAUGAGCCUAAGCCAGAUUAGCUAGUUGGUGGGGUAAAGGCCUACCAAGGCGACGAUCUGUAGCGGGUCUGAGAGGAUGAUCCGCCACACUGGGACUGAGACACGGCCCAGACUCCUACGGGAGGCAGCAGUGGGGAAUAUUGGACAAUGGGGGGAACCCUGAUCCAGCCAUGCCGCGUGUGUGAAGAAGGCCUUUUGGUUGUAAAGCACUUUAAGCGGGGAGGAGGCUCUUCUAGUUAAUACCUAGGAUGAGUGGACGUUACCCGCAGAAUAAGCACCGGCUAACUCUGUGCCAGCAGCCGCGGUAAUACAGAGGGUGCGAGCGUUAAUCGGAUUUACUGGGCGUAAAGCGUACGUAGGCGGCUUUUUAAGUCGGAUGUGAAAUCCCUGAGCUUAACUUAGGAAUUGCAUUCGAUACUGGGAAGCUAGAGUAUGGGAGAGGAUGGUAGAAUUCCAGGUGUAGCGGUGAAAUGCGUAGAGAUCUGGAGGAAUACCGAUGGCGAAGGCAGCCAUCUGGCCUAAUACUGACGCUGAGGUACGAAAGCAUGGGGAGCAAACAGGAUUAGAUACCCUGGUAGUCC